AUUGAACGCUGGCGGCAGGCCUAACACAUGCAAGUCGAGCGGAUGAAGGGAGCUUGCUCCUGGAUUCAGCGGCGGACGGGUGAGUAAUGCCUAGGAAUCUGCCUGGUAGCGGGGGAUAACGUCCGGAAACGGGCGCUAAUACCGCAUACGUCCAGAGGGAGAAAGUGGGGGAGCUUCGGACCUCACGCUAUCUGAUGAGCCUAGGUCGGAGUAGCUAGUUGGGGGGGUAAAGGCCUACCAAGGCGACGAUCCGUAACUGGUCUGAGAGGAUGAUCAGUCACACUGGAACUGAGACACGGUCCAGACUCCUACGGGAGGCCGCAGUGGGGAAUAUUGGACAAUGGGCGAAAGCCUGAUCCAGCCAUGCCGCGUGUGUGAAGAAGGUCUUCGGAUUGUAAAGCACUUUAAGUUGGGAGGAAGGGCAGUAAGUUAAUACCUUGCUGUUUUGACGUUACCAACAGAAUAAGCACCGGCUAACUUCGUG
rnacentral:rRNA from 1 species